rnacentral:rRNA from 1 species
CCGUAGUGAACCUGCGGAAGGAUCAUUG